rnacentral:snRNA from 1 species
AUACAUCACCCUGUAUCAAAAAAGAAAAAAAAAAAUACAGUAAAGAUUAGUAUGGCCCCUGUCCAAGGAUGACACACAAAUUUGUAAAAUGUUUCAUAGUUUU